AAGAGAGUCAUACAAAAAGCUACAAAGAUGAUGAGGGGACUGGAGUAUCUCUCUUAUGAGAAAAGGCUGAGGGAGCUGGGCCUAUUCAGCCU